rnacentral:rRNA from 1 species
CCGCCUGGGGAGUACGGUCGCAAGAUUAAAACUCAAAGGAAUUGACGGGGGCCUGCACAAGCGGUGGAGCAUGUGGUUUAAUUCGAAGCAACGCGCAGAACCUUACCAGCCUUUGACAUCCUAGGACGGUUUCUGGAGACAGACUCCUUCCCUUCGGGGACCUAGUGACAGGUGCUGCAUGGCUGUCGUCAGCUUGUGUCGUGAGAUGUUGGGUUAAGUCCCGCAACGAGCGCAACCCUCGUCCUUAGUUGCCAUCAUUUAGUUGGGCACUUUAAGGAAACUGCCGGUGAUAAGCCGGAGGAAGGUGGGGAUGACGUCAAGUCCUCAUGGCCCUUACAGGCUGGGCUACACACGUGCUACAAUGGCAUCUACAGUGGGCAGCUAUCCCGCAAGGGUGAGCUAAUCUCCAAAAGAUGUCUCAGUUCGGAUUGUCCUCUGCAACUCGAGGGCAUGAAGGCGGAAUCGCUAGUAAUCGCGGAUCAGCAUGCCGCGGUGAAUACGUUCCCAGGCCUUGUACACACCGCCCGUCACACCAUGGGAGUUGGAUUCACCCGAAGGCAGUGCGCUAACCGCAAGGAGGCA